UGCUAAUAAACAACCAACCGAGCGGUUCAUUCAUCAAUAAGACAUAGAGGUGAAAGUUGUUCCUGUUGUUCUUUGUCUCUUGUGUUGAUUGAAGCCUUCAAUGACUCUGAUCAGGACAUUAAGAGGAUGUUUUGGGGCAGAUUGUCUCUUUAAAAGCAGCUGAAGGAGACUCAGGUGAGCUCCGUCAUUAGAAACUGGAUCAAAGCUCUUCUCCACCAGGCGGCGCCACUCUGAGUCUCAGAGACCAGAAGAUCCUGAUCCGGAUCAUCAUGAACCUGCUUUGAGACGCUGUGAUGUCAUCACUCCUCCAUCUUGGACUGGAACAAGGCGUCUGAUCCAGAGGACGAGUCAGCAGGUUGGACCAACACAUGGCUCACUGCCGUCAGCUGGAAGAUCCAACAGCUUCAUCAAUCAUUUACCUUUUAUUCAUGCAUUCAUAGUUUUAUUCAUCCUGUGAAAGAGACAAAAGGAGGUACAGCGCCUUCUGCUGGACGACUGCAAGAAUACAAAUCUGUAUUCAGACUCUCUGCCUCGACUUUCACACACUGGCAUCAAACUCCUGCUUCCUUAUGUUAACUAACUUAUUUAAUGAUUCAUAAGUAAAGGAGACAUUUAUUUAAAGAAUUACGAAUAAAACAACUUUUGGUCCAAACACUCAGCAGAACUUCUGUGCCUUCUUGUUUAUUUUUAAAAAGGGUUUCUGUCUUUAUAAAUGCAUAUUUGAAUUUUAUUCAUUCAUAACAAUUGUGUUCAUGAAUUAAUUUACACCCUUAACGAG